rnacentral:rRNA from 2 species
CGGCUGGAACGGCCGCUAAUACCCCAUAUGCCGAGAGGUGAAACGAAUUUCGCCUGAGGAUGAGCUCGCGUCUGAUUAGCUAGUUGGUGUGGUAAAGGCUCACCAAGGCAUCGAUCAGUAGCUGGUCUGAGAGGAUGAUCAGCCACACUGGGACUGAGACACGGCCCAGACUCCUGCGGGAGGCAGCAGUGGGGAAUUUUCCGCAAUGGGCGCAAGCCUGACGGAGCAACGCCGCGUGAGGGAUGAAGGCCUCUGGGCUGUAAACCUCUUUUAUCAAGGAAGAAGAUCUGACGGUACUUGAUGAAUAAGCCACGGCUAAUUCCGUGCCAGCAGCCGCGGUAAUACGGGAGUGGCAAGCGUUAUCCGGAAUUAUUGGGCGUAAAGCGUCCGCAGGCGGUCUUGAAAGUCUGUUGUUAAAGCGUGGAGCUCAACUCCAUUUCAGCAAUGGAAACUAGAAGACUAGAGUGUGGUAGGGGCAGAGGGAAUUCCCGGUGUAGCGGUGAAAUGCGUAGAUAUCGGGAAGAACACCAGUGGCGAAGGCGCUCUGCUGGGCCAUAACUGACGCUCAUGGACGAAAGCCCGGGGAGCGAACGGGAUUAGUC